rnacentral:rRNA from 1 species
UGGGGAAUAUUGCACAAUGGGCGAAAGCCUGAUGCAGCGACGCCGCGUGAGGGAUGACGGCCUUCGGGUUGUAAACCGUCUUUCAGCAGGGAAGAAGCGAAAGUGACGGUACCUGCAGAAGAAGCGCCGGCUAACUACGUGCCAGCAGCCGCGGUAAUACGUAGGGCGCAAGCGUUGUCCGGAAUUAUUGGGCGUAAAGAGCUCGUAGGCGGUUAGUCGCGUCUGCUGUGAAAACUCGAGGCUCAACCUCGGGCUUGCAGUGGGUACGGGCUGACUAGAGUGCGGUAGGGGUGACUGGAAUCCCUGGUGUAGCGGUGGAAUGCGCAGAUAUCAGGAGGAACACCGAUGGGCGAAGGCAGGUCACUGGGCCGCAACUGACGCUGAGGAGCGAAAGCAUGGGGAGCGAACAGGAUUAGAUAGCCCUGGUAGUCCAUGCCGUAAACGUUGGGCACUAGGUGUGGGGUCCAUUCCACGGAUUCCCGUGCCGCAGCAAAGCGCAUU